rnacentral:lncRNA from 1 species
GGCGCUUAGAAAUGGAGCCACGGGAAGAGCCAUCACAUGGACAGUCCUGCAUGGAAGGCGCUGGCCCCAGCAUUCAGCUCCAGCUGCAGGAGGUGAAGACGGGCAAGGCAAGCCAGUUCUUUGGGCUGAUGGGGAAGCGAGUGGGAGGCAGAGAGGAUGAGGCCCAAGGUUCAGAGUAAAAGCCCCCACCACAGACUUCCCAGAGGACACGGUGCCGCUUCUUCCUACCUGGAUGUCACAGCUGACAAGCCGGCAGGCCAACUCUCUUCUCUGUGUCUCCUGUCCUCAUCGCUGGCACUUCACACAAGGCCCACACUGAACCCACUGGGCUUCUUCCUGGACUCUCAGUGUCAAGCAGCAGUCCUGCAUAAAUGCACAGCUUCGCCGUAGCAAGCUGCACUGACUCUGCCCUCCCUCACACUCAGAGUUGGCAUCUCACUGCACAGCAGUGAGGAGACUCGCACACUCUGUAUCCUGUGCCUAGCACACAGUAGG